GCGGAAGUGGCGAAACUGGUAGACGCACCAGACUUAGGAUCUGGCACCUAAAAAGUGUGCGAGUUCAAAUCUCGCCUUCCGCA
rnacentral:tRNA from 1 species